CCAAGCACCGACCCCAAGCGCCUGCUCGUCUGCUCUCAAGUCCCUCACGCUAAAGCAAACCUCGCCUUCCUCCCCGAAGUGCUGCCAGGAGCGCAGCCGCCCGCCGGAGAGCUUGGGCCGGCAGUAUGAAAACCCCUGGACGAUCCCGAAUAUGCUGUCAAUGGCAAGGAUGGGUUUGGUGCCAGUUUUAGGCUAUUUGAUUGUUGAAGAAAAUUUCAGCGUUGCACUAGGUGUCUUCGUUUUGGCUGGCGUGACGGAUUUGCUGGAUGGAUUUAUUGCACGAAACUGGGCUAAUCAGAAAUCAGCUUUGGGAAGUGCUCUUGACCCUCUGGCUGAUAAAAUUCUCAUCAGUGUGCUCUAUGUAAGCCUAACUUGUGCAAAUCUUAUCCCAGUUUCACUGACUUCCAUGAUCAUUCUGAGGGAUGUAGCGCUCAUUGCUGCUGUUUUUUACGUGCGAUAUAAAACUCUUUCUCCACCGAGAACACUCAGUAGGUAUUUUAACCCCUGUUACGCUACUGCCCAAUUAAAACCAACAUUCAUUAGCAAGAUGAAUACAGCGGUUCAGCUAAUUUUGGUGGCAGCUUCUUUAGCAGCUCCUGUUUUCAAUUAUGUGGACAGCGUAUAUCUGCAGACGUUAUGAUACCUUUGAAAUACCGCAUGAAGCUGCCAGGAAAUGGAAGUACAGCGGUCCGGUGAAGGCUCGGAGUGUCGGCAGUGAGUGAGACGUGCUACGCGCCUAAAGCCUGAUGUUAAAUAAAACCUAACAUCGUGUUGGAGCCGCCGCUUUCGCCGCUUAGGGCACCAGGGAUGGAGCAGAGACCUUUACAGAGCAGCUGUGAUUCUUACAGUGAAGAGUUUGACCUGCUACACCUUUCCUCCUCGUAAAGGCUCAGCUGUUAACAACCACCAUGGCAGCUACUGGUUUGGGGGAAUGUGUUUUAUAUUUCACUGAGCUGACAGGAGGGAGAACCAUUCCAUCCAUGCCAAAAGGAAGACCUGCUGGCUGGUAUCCUGAGACUGGAAGCUUACCUCUCGCCUGUCAGACCUGUCAAUGUGUAACACAAAUUGUCAAAAUAGGAGAGCUCUUGGACUCUAAUAAACAGUGUUUGUGAAGCACAACCUACCAACUAGUUGAAAACUACUGUCUCCAGAAACGUGGGAAAGUCAACUGGACUAAGAUCCAGGGAACAUCUAUGGGAACAGCUCAUUUAUUUUAUAGGACUGGAUAUCUCAGCAGCCCUUGGGAGAGAGUCUGAUCAUUACAUGCUUACAAAGGAGGACCCAGAAACCACAGGGUUGCAGAGAUAUUCUCAAAUUCCUCCUGUCUGAAGCUACUAUUUGCAGAAGAACAUGCUGAGCUAACUUUGACAAAUAGCUUAGUGUCACUAGGACCCAUGCGUGCCGUUAGGCCCAAAGAUGCUGAGAGCUGCUUCUGUUCCUGCCCUGCUCUCCCAGGGUUACCUCUCUUCUUAGAUAAGGAGAAAGAAACUGCACACCCCAAAGCUGCGUGCAGCAGGCACCCCCUAUUUGCCCCAAAUUCAGUAGAGGUUUUCUUCUAGGGGUGAUAAGUGAAAGGAAUGCAUAGUAUCCUGAUGUUAACAAGAAUUGGCUUUGUGUGAUCAAGGUGUUUUGGCUGAGCGGGGUCCCUUGACAUGUUCCUCCUCUCUGCAGCUGGUCCCCCCUCCCUGCGCAUGUGCUCCAAGGCUCUGAGAAACAGUUUUCAACGUUGUGUUUCUAAGAGCAUCCAAAUUACAAGGGCUGUGAUACAGGAAUAGCCUCACUCCCACUUCCCCAAAACCUCAAGAGGUGGGCUCAUUAGUAUGGUACACAGCACUGAAUUGUUUGUUUCUUUGAGCUUGUGAUUUCUUUGUGCUACAGGCUGGCAGCAGCCUGCAAUUUUGAGGGUCAGCUGGAGGAAAUGCCUACACAUGCUGGCAUGGCCAGCUUUUGGAGCUGUUCUGUAAUGGUUGACAAGUAAUGUUGUAUUUCUGGAAGUGAAGUGUGUUCUUUUUUCCCAGUGGGAUUUACCAAUUGUUUUUUCUCGCUGGUGUUGCAUGAUUGUCAGGCUUUAUUUCUCAGAAGAGAUAAUGAAUUUAAGUCUGUUUUCCUGUUCUGUGUACACAGGCACAUGUCUAAUGGAUCUAAUUACGCCAAUACAAAACUCUCCAGAUUAUCAAAUAUUGUUCCAUUAAGGAAAUAGUAUUUGAAAUCAUAUUUUUAUUGUCUGAGUUGUAUUUGGAGACAUAGUGGGUAUGUAUUGAAGGUGAAAGCAAGGAGAAGUCAGUAUGACCAAAACUGUUUCUUGUUUAAAAGCAUCUGCCCAGCCUCUGGGCAGCCAAAAAAGCUGUAGCCAAUUGCUGAGAGUAGGAUGUGCGUGCUUGUAGUAUGACAUGCUGUCCAUAAACUGUACUUCCCAGGGGAAGAAAAAAGUAUUAUUUUAACAAAUCUCAAAAUACAUAACGUGAGGAAGUUUUUAAUAACUAAUGCUGUUCUCUUACAGGCUCUAAUUUUGAAAAUAGGCAAGUUUUCCUUAGUCGCUUGAGUGAAUAGUCGUAGUAAUGUAAAAAUGCGAUUACUCGCUGUCCUAGAACAGCUAUGAUUAUAUAUAUUCUUAGGAAACUUUUCUGUUUUGUUAAUUGAAGAUUUUUAUGUUGAAAUAGUAAUUCAUUUGUGAUUCCCAAUGAAAACUGGAAUUUGGUCCUACAUAAUUUUUUUCCUCAAUGUCAUCAUACUUUUAACACAGCACUUCUUGACGUGCUAUAGAACUGUGUAGAGAUGGGACAGUCUGUAAAUAAAAAGAGGGCAUUUUGCAAAAGCAUGCUCAUUGAGGGCUGCUGAAGAGACAAGGUGGGAAACAACUAAGGCGGUAUCGCCAUGCACACACACAUAGCUCGGAAUAUAAAGUCUGUGUAAUAUAGUGGCAUGUGUCACUGAGAGUACAGUGAGUGAGGGUACAGCAGGAGAUCCUGCACUUUGAGGUCUGCCUGGACUAAUUGCCUGGCUUUAAGGAGAUGUAUCCGUCUUGAACCAAUCCUGACAGUGACUCAGCUGUAGGAGCUGAUGGAUAAAACAGAUUUCAGCACCUUUAAGUUUCCAGUUACGGUGCUGAAAUGCAUUUGGGUUGUUUAUUCCAGCAGUGCAACCAUCUUUAUCAGUGCUGUGGGAGCUGGACAAUAGCUGGUCAUUGUCCUGCUGGUGGUAAAUGCUCAUCCAAAGCUCCUGGGGUUGAAAAGCGAGAGAGGGAGACCUAUAAUCAGAUAUGUUUUGUCUGUCUUCAGUUAUAGGCACAGAAGAACCACUCCUGUUUUAACUUCAGAUCAAUCCUUAGAAAUACCAGUAAGGUGUAUUCACUGUAAUCUGAUAUUCUAUGUAAUACAUGACCACUGUUAAAAGUAAUGGAAAGAACUGUUUGUAAUGCUGUGUAGAGUAUGACUGGAAAUACUAUUUUUUGUCAAGUUAAAUGAAAAUGUUUCCUCAAAUGUUUUUCUUACUUAAAAGCAUUUAAAACACAAAGUCUGAAAUUUAACUGUGGUCAUUCAUAUGAGCAAUGGAGUAGAACUACACUUGUUUAAAGAAUUAGUUGUAUUAAGUGUUCGUACAACAAAGGAGGUGGAAGAUCAGUGAAUUGUUCUCUCAAUCUUUGUUACUUAUAUCACGUUUCCUGUCCACAGCGAAAUGUUUCCAAGUUAAGAUGAAAAAGAACAUUAAAAUGAGUUGCUGUUCUUAUGUGACUUGAAAACCUUUAGAGCUGAUGGUAGCUAUACUGAAGUAUAACUCAAUGAUUGUUUGUACCCACUUCCAAUUAAAAUUUAUAUUAAUUAUUUUAAGGAAAAACCCGUGAGUUUUUAAGUAGUAGUCAUAUUUCCAAGCUGAGUGAGAUUCUAGUCUGAAUGAUGGACUUUAUCUGUAUAUUAUUUAAAGCAUGCAUUAUACUCCACCAAAAUACGGUAUGGUGGUUAUCUCCUGGUUUCUUAGCUGUGUACAUGUACAGUAUAAAGUGAUCCAUAUUGUGUGUACCUGUUCCUGUGUAUCCGAGAGAGAUAAAUGUUUGCUAAUUAUGA